rnacentral:rRNA from 1 species
AUUGAACGCUGGCGGCAGGCCUAACACAUGCAAGUCGAACGGAGCGGCGGACGGGUGAGUAAUGCCUAGGAAUCUGCCUGGUAGUGGGGGAUAACGUCCGGAAACGGGCGCUAAUACCGCAUACUAUCAGAUGAGCCUAGGUCGGAUUAGCUAGUUGGUGGGGUAAAGGCCUACCAAGGCGACGAUCCGUAACUGGUCUGAGAGGAUGAUCAGCCAAUCGAGCACGUAGACACGGGCCAGACUCCUACGGGAGGCAGCAUGAGGGAAAAUUGCACAAUGGGGGCAAGCCUGAUGCGGCCAUGCCGCGUGUAUGAAGAAGGCCUUCGGGUUGUAAAGUACUUUCAGCGGGGAGGCGUUACCCGCAGAAGAAGCACCGGCUAACUCCGUGCCAGCCGCCGCGGUAAUAC